UUGGGUUUAUAUUUCCCUUUUUCCUUUGUUUUUUGCUUCUCUUCUUUUCUCAGGUAUUUGUAAAAUCUCCUCAGACAACCAAUUUGCCUUCUUGCAUUUCUUUUUCUUUGGGAUGGUUUUGGUCACUGCCUCCUAUAUAAUGUUAUGAACCUCUGUCCAUACUUCCUUAGGCACUCUGUCUACCAGAUCUGACCCCUUCAAUCUGUCACCUCUACUGUAUAAUCAUAAUGAAUUUGAUUUAGGUUUUACUGGAAUGGCCUAAUGGUUUUCCCUACUUUCUUCAAUUUAAACCUGAAUUUUGCAAUAAGAUCUGAGCCAUGGUCAGCUCCAGGUCUUGUUUUUGCUGAUGUAUAGAGCUUCUCCAUCUUUGACUGCAGAGAACAUAAUUAAUCUUAUUUCAGUAUUAACCAUCUGGUGAUGCCCAUGUGUAGAGUUGUCUCUUGUAUUGUUGGAAGAGGAUGUUUGUUAUGACCAGCAUGUUCUUUUGACAAAACUCUGUUAGCCUUUGCCUGCUUCACUUUGUACUCCAAGUUACUUCCUACUUUUCAUCCCAGUCCCCUAUGAUGAAAAGAACAUCUUUUUUGGGCGUUAGUUCUAGAAGGUCUUAUAGAUGUUUGUAGAACUGUUCAACUUCAUCUUCUUCAGCAUUAGUGGUAGGGCACAGAUGGGGAUUAUUGUGAUGUUGAAUGGUUUGCCUUGGAAACAAACCAAGAUCAUUCUAUUGUUUUUGAGAUUGCACCCAAGUACUGUAUUUCGAACUCUUCUGUUGACCAUGAGUGCUAGUCCUAUUUCUUUUAAGAGCUUCUUGCCCACCAUAGUAGGUAUAAUGGUCAUCUGUAUUAAAUUUGCCUGUUCCCAACCAUUUUAGUUAACUGAUUCCUAAGAUGUUGACAUUCACUCUUGCCAUCAUCUCCUACAUUACCAUGUCCAAUUUACCCUGGCUCAUGGAUCUAACAUUCCAGUUUCCUAUGCAAUAUUGUUCUUUAGAGCAUUGGACUUUACUUUCACCCGCAGACAUCCAUAACUGAGCGUUGUUUCUGCUUUGGCCCAACCUCUUCAUUCUUUCUAUAGCUAUUUCUCCACCCUUCCCUUAUAGCAUAUUGGACACCUUCCAAUCUGGGGGGCACAUCUUCCAAUGUCAUGUUUUUUUGCCUUUUCAUUCUGUUCGUGGAGUUCUGGAGUGGUUUGCCAUCCCUCCUCCAGUAGACCACGUUUUGUUAGAACUCUCCACUGUGACCAGUCCAUCUUGGUUGGCCCUGCAUGGCAUGGCUCAUAGCUUUGUUGAGUUACACAAACCCCUCCACCACAACAAGGCUGUGAUCCAUGAAGGGAAAGAUAUGCAUAACCAGGUAAAGACCAUUUACCAAAAUGUAAUGCCAAACAGCGUAUUAAUUAGUGAAACAGUGAAUGUAUUUCCACUUAAAAUCUCUUUGUUUUUUUGUCUUGGACAAUUUGAAUUCAACUUUCAGUGGAUUCUCCCCAGCAUGCAGUUUUGUCCUUUACUUUUUAAAGUCAUAGGUCCCAGACUCCUCUGGUCCCUUAACCCCUUAAAAUCAGCCCCUUGCAUUCUCCCCAA
ensembl:lncRNA